UGAUAGACAUGAAAGAUCAGCAUAAAUAUAUCUUUUUGGAGACAAAUUUCUUGGCUUCCCUUGCGACGAGUCGUCAGUCUUGCCUUGGCGCUUGUGCGGAACGCCUGCGCUCGCCUUCCAAAAUGUUCUGAAAGAAAACUAAAAAUUAAUUAAUGGCUUGUUAUUUUUAAAAGA